UGCUUGUCUCAAAGAUUAAGCCAUGCAUGUCUAUGCACAAGCCGAAUACGGUGAAGCCGCGAAUGGCUCAUUACAACAGCCACUGUUUACUUGAUUCUGAUUAUCCUACUUGGAUAACUGUGGUAAUUCUAGAGCUAAUACAUGCAACCAAGCUCCGACCGUAAGGGACGAGCGCAUUUAUUAGAACAAAACCAAUCGGGCUUCGGCCUGAGGUUUGGUGAAUCUGAAUAACUGAGCUGAUCGCAUGGUCUUUGUACCGGCGACGCAUCUUUCAAGUGUCUGCAUUAUCAACUUUCGAUGGUAGUUUAUGUGCCUACCAUGGUUGUAACGGGUAACGGAGAAUAAGGGUUCGACUCCGGAGAGGGAGCCUGAGAAACGGCUACCACAUCCRAGGAAGGCAGCAGGCA
rnacentral:rRNA from 1 species